rnacentral:rRNA from 1 species
CCUACGGGGGACAGCAGUGGGGAAUAUUGCACAAUGGGGGAAACCCUGAUGCAGCGACGCCGCGUGAGUGAAGAAGUAAUUCGUUAUGUAAAGCUCUAUCAGCAGGGAAGAAAAUGACGGUACCUGAGUAAGAAGCCCCGGCUAACUACGUGCCAGCAGCCGCGGUAAUACGUAGGGGGCAAGCGUUAUCCGGAUUUACUGGGUGUAAAGGGCGUGUAGGCGGGGAAGCAAGUCAGAUGUGAAAACCACGGGCUCAACCUGUGGCCUGCAUUUGAAACUGUUUUUCUUGAGUACUGGAGAGGCAGACGGAAUUCCUAGUGUAGCGGUGAAAUGCGUAGAUAUUAGGAGGAACACCAGUGGCGAAGGCGGUCUGCUGGACAGCAACUGACGCUGAGGCGCGAAAGCGUGGGGAGCAAACAGGAUUAGAUACCCUGGUAGUC